AUCGGUGACAGGUGGUGGCAUGGGUUGUCGUCAGCUCGUGUCGUGAGAUGUGGGUUAAGUCCCGCAACGAGCGCAACCCCUAUUGUUAGUUGCCAUCAUUCAGUUGGGCACUCUAGCGAGACUGCCGGUAAUAAACCGGAGGAAGGUGGGGAUGACGUCAAAUCAUCAUGCCCCUUAUGACCUGGGCUACACACGUGCUACAAUGGUUGGUACAACGAGUUGCGAGUCGGUGACGGCGAGCUAAUCUCUUAAAGCCAAUCUCAGUUCGGAUUGUAGGCUGCAACUCGCCUACAUGAAGUCGGAAUCGCUAGUAAUCGCGGAUCAGCACGCCGCGGUGAAUACCGUUCCCGGGCCUU
rnacentral:rRNA from 1 species